CGCCGGACCCCUUUUACUUUAGAGACGCUGAAAAAGUUGAAUGUGUUUCUGUUAAAGUUUUCGGCGUGCACCUCUCUGUUUGGUACUGUAUUUUUGAUUUUCUGCAUUAAUGUGCAGUCGGAACUGGCGCUCAGACCACAGGGACCAGGUGAGUUGCCAUUCAGGAGUUCAGGACGCAUACCUACAUCAUUACCACACCAAUCUGAGGCAGUGGAGAAGGAUCACAGGUUGCACAUGCCCUAAGUGGCGGCUGAGAUGACACGCCCCCAUCAGAUCGCCCGGGACCUUUUGUUGUUGGUUUUCUUAGGACUUAC